rnacentral:rRNA from 1 species
CUGCCUAUUAGUGGGGGACAACAUUUCGAAAGGAAUGCUAAUACCGCAUACGUCCUACGGGAGAAAGCAGGGGAUCUUCGGACCUUGCGCUAAUAGAUGAGCCUAAGUCGGAUUAGCUAGUUGGUGGGGUAAAGGCCUACCAAGGCGACGAUCUGUAGCGGGUCUGAGAGGAUGAUCCGCCACACUGGGACUGAGACACGGCCCAGACUCCUACGGGAGGCAGCAGUGGGGAAUAUUGGACAAUGGGCGCAAGCCUGAUCCAGCCAUGCCGCGUGUGUGAAGAAGGCCUUAUGGUUGUAAAGCACUUUAAGCGAGGAGGAGGCUACUUUAGUUAAUACCUAGAGAUAGUGGACGUUACUCGCAGAAUAAGCACCGGCUAACUCUGUGCCAGCAGCCGCGGUAAUACAGAGGGUGCAAGCGUUAAUCGGAUUUACUGGGCGUAAAGCGCGCGUAGGCGGCUAAUUAAGUCAAAUGUGAAAUCCCCGAGCUUAACUUGGGAAUUGCAUUCGAUACUGGUUAGCUAGAGUGUGGGAGAGGAUGGUAGAAUUCCAGGUGUAGCGGUGAAAUGCGUAGAGAUCUGGAGGAAUACCGAUGGCGAAGGCAGCCAUCUGGCCUAACACUGACGCUGAGGUGCGAAAGCAUGGGGGAGCAAACAGGAUUAGAUACCCUGGUAGUCCAUGCCGUAAACGAUGUCUACUAGCCGUUGGGGCCUUUGAGGCUUUAGUGGCGCAGCUAACGCGAUAAGUAGA